rnacentral:rRNA from 1 species
GACGAACGCUGGCGGCGUGCCUAAUACAUGCAAGUAGAACGCUGAAGGAGGAGCUUGCUUCUCUGGAUGAGUUGCGAACGGGUGAGUAACGCGUAGGUAACCUGCCUGGUAGCGGGGGAUAACUAUUGGAAACGAUAGCUAAUACCGCAUAAGAGUAGAUGUUGCAUGACAUUUGCUUAAAAGGUGCAAUUGCAUCACUACCAGAUGGACCUGCGUUGUAUUAGCUAGUUGGUGAGGUAACGGCUCACCAAGGCAACGAUACAUAGCCGACCUGAGAGGGUGAUCGGCCACACUGGGACUGAGACACGGCCCAGACUCCUACGGGAGGCAGCAGUAGGGAAUCUUCGGCAAUGGACGGAGGUCUGACCGAGCAACGCCGCGUGAGUGAAGAAGGUUUUCGGAUCGUAAAGCUCUGUUGUAAGAGAAGAACGAGUGUGAGAGUGGAAAGUUCACACUGUGACGGUAUCUUACCAGAAAGGGACGGCUAACUACGUG